CCACCGUUCAACUCGGCUUGCACUGCCGCGCGUUCUGUCAUCAUCAGAGUCAUCGUCGUCGUUUGUGGAGCCGCGAGGAGCUCGCCGUCGAGCUGCUUUGCAGCGCCGUCCCGUCCAUAGAGCCGAGCCCGAGCCCGCUUCGUCACCGCCGUCGGGGUCUUCAUCGUCGUUGGUGCGGUCGGAGCCGCCGUCGUUGGAGAGAGAGCAAGCGCGAAUCUGAGAAAGGGAGAGGGAGAGAGAUCCGACGCCACAGAGGAGGAAAGGAGAAGUCUUCUGUCAUCAACGCCACUCCUCUUCACCACCGCCGCCGCCGGAAUUUCUGGUUGCCGCCAUGAUUAAUGAUGAGUUAGUUAAACCCUAGCCAUGAGAACCACCAUCUUUGAACCCUUGUCACUCUGUAAAUAGCUUGUAUCUGCCUCUGAUGUUCUUGGCUAUGUUAUAUUUGUUGGAGCAUGUUUUAAUGGAGCCACUGGCGGGGUGAUGCUACUGCCGGAACCACCGCGGGGUGUUGCUAGGAAUCGCCCCUGCCCUGCUUCUGCUAUACUUGGGUUCAACAUCCAUUGGCCUGGAGCUGUUUCUGCCUUUCGAUUCCAUUGAAUUCGAAAUCUUCAUUUCACUGCAACCAUGGUCAUUGUUGUGGAAGCUAAUGCUACUGCUGUCCCGGUUGUGUUGAGAUGUAGUGCUGCUGCUUUCUGGGCAGAAACGAUUGCGUGACUAGUAGAGGUCCAGCCAGCUGUCUCGCAGCAAUUCUGCCAACGGUCUCUUGUAAUUGCGACAUCGAGUGACACAGGUUUGAAGACGCAAUUUGAAGCUGCGAGCGAUUAGUAGGUUUUCUUUAUGGUUUUAAUUGCUUUCAUAGAGUCCCCUCGCUCUUUUCCUUUGAAGUUUUAUUUUAUCAGAGGGGUAGGUAUUGUAUUUGGGUUUAUAUGACUUCCUAUGUAUAGGAAUUACUAUUAAUAAUACUUAUAUGAUUGUAUUAUUAUUUGCAA